UACAGAGGUCUCAAGCGUUGUUCGGAUUCAUUGGGCGUAAAGGGUGCGUAGGCGGCGCGGUAAGUCGGGUGUGAAAUCUGGAGCUUAACUCCGAAACUGCAUUCGAUACUGCCGUGCUUGAGGACUGGAGAGGAGACUGGAAUUUACGGUGUAGCGGUGAAAUGCGUAGAUAUCGUAAGGAAGACCAGUGGCGAAGGCGGGUCUCUGGACAGUUCCUGACGCUGAGGCACGAAGGCCAGGGGAGCAAACGGGAUU
rnacentral:rRNA from 1 species